rnacentral:rRNA from 1 species
AGAUAUUUUCUUUUUUAUAAAAGGUAACCCGAUCAACGGACAAAAGCUACGCUAGGGAUAACAGGCCUAUCCGCCUUUAGAGUUCCUAUCGAUGGGCGGGUUUUGCACCUCGAUGUUGGAUCAUCGCGUCCUAUGGCUGAAGAAGGUCAUAAGGGUUGGAUUGUUCAUCCAUUAAAGCGGUACGUGAUCUGAGUUCAGAACGUCGUGAGACAGUUCGGUUUCUAUCUUUGUUAGCGUAAGGCUUAUAUUGUUUUAUUUAAAAAUAAAUAAAAACGCGCCGCAGCAACAGUAGCCGCUGGGGGCGAGUACGAAAGGACCAGACCCCUGUAAACCUCUGGUGCACUUGUUGUCUUAUUAAGGGCAUAGCAAGAAAGCUAAGUUUAAUAAGGCUGAAUUGCUUUUUUUUCAAUAACACCGAAUGGGCUUAGUUUUAAUAAACUAAAGAUUGUAAAUUCUGUGGCUGAUUUUACAGCCACUCGAUUGUAAACGCUGAAUAAAGCUUUAGCUUUAAUAUA